GAAAUGCCUCCACGAGAUCCACCUGUAAGGCAUUUUCUCAUUUAGUGAUCAAUUCGGGAGGGCCCAGCCCGUGGUGCGUGGGGUCACUCCUGGGCUGGUGGUCCUG
rnacentral:miRNA from 1 species